UUUCACUCACAAAAAAGCUGGUGACCUGUCAACUUGACAUGUUCCAAGAUUAAUAUUUAAAAAUAAUUAUUGGGUGACUGUUAAAAGGUCACAAGCAAUAAAUAGAACUUGGAGGAAACAGGAAGAGGAGGAGAGAAAAACAUCUUAAAUUCAUUUUUCAUUUAAAAUGAAGUCCUUGGAGAAAAUGUUGUCAUUGACUUCAAAUAAAAAUGCAGUAUGUUACUAAGCAGGUGUAAGUAAUUUUACCUAAUUACUAAGAAUGGGUUUUCCAUGUAUAUAAAACAGCUGGGAAUACUGAAUAGUAAAAGCAAGCAGGAAGGAGAUGGAUUGGAAGAAUGUGGAAAGGAACACCUUUAAUAGCUGAUUACACAAGGUAGAGGCAAUCAGGGGAUGAAACUUGGGUCGCUGUAAAGUACAGAAGCAGAAGCUGCCAUCCUGAAGACCUCACCUCCAUUGACACUAGCAGCAGCCAGCAUGGUUCUCAAGGGCUUUGGCAGGGCUCUUUCCCAGCUGAAACCAGGACUGGUUGCCUGUCUUGAACGCAAAGGACCAAAGAUGUGUAGCCCUUAGACAGGAACCAGGGCUAGACCAUAAGUAAUGUGACCCCAAUGAAAAGAAAGCUUUGGAGUGUUCUGGAAAACAGCUUUCUCUGAGGUAGAUGACCUG
rnacentral:lncRNA from 1 species